rnacentral:rRNA from 1 species
GAUGAACGCUAGCGGGAGGCUUAACACAUGCAAGUCGAGGGGCAGCACGAUGUAGCAAUACGUUGGUGGCGACCGGCGCACGGGUGAGUAACACGUAUGCAACCUACCCUGUACAGGGGGAUAACCCGGAGAAAUUCGGACUAAUAUCCCAUAAUGAUAUUUGAGGGCAUCCUUGGAUAUUUAAAGCUCAGGCGGUACGGGAUGGGCAUGCGGAACAUUAGCUAGUUGGGAGGGUAACGGCCUACCAAGGCAACGAUGUUUAGGGGACCUGAGAGGGUGAUCCCCCACACUGGUACUGAGACACGGACCAGACUCCUACGGGAGGCAGCAGUGAGGAAUAUUGGUCAAUGGGCGCAAGCCUGAACCAGCCAUCCCGCGUGCAGGAAGACGGCCCUAUGGGUUGUAAACUGCUUUUCCAGGGGGGAGAAUUUUUCUGUCGUGACAGGAAUUGACGGUACCCUGGGAAUAAGCAUCGGCUAACUCCGUGCCAGCAGCCGCGGUAAU